AGUGAACGCUGGCGGUAGGCCUAACACAUGCAAGUCGAACGGCAGCACAGUAAGAGCUUGCUCUUACGGGUGGCGAGUGGCGGACGGGUGAGGAAUACAUCGGAAUCUACUUUUUCGUGGGGGAUAACGUAGGGAAACUUACGCUAAUACCGCAUACGACCUACGGGUGAAAGCAGGAGAUCUUCGGACCUUGCGCGAUUGAAUGAGCCGAUGUCGGAUUAGCUAGUUGGCGGGGUAAAGGCCCACCAAGGCGACGAUCCGUAGCUGGUCUGAGAGGAUGAUCAGCCACACUGGAACUGAGACACGGUCCAGACUCCUACGGGAGGCAGCAGUGGGGAAUAUUGGACAAUGGGCGUAAGCCUGAUCCAGCCAUACCGCGUGGGUGAAGAAGGCCUUCGGGUUGUAAAGCCCUUUUGUUGGGAAAGAAAAGCAGCAGGUUAAUACCCCGCUGUUCUGACGGUACCCAAAGAAUAAGCACCGGCUAACUUCGUG
rnacentral:rRNA from 1 species